AUUGAACGCUGGCGGCAUGCUUUACACAUGCAAGUCGAACGGUAACAGGCCGCAAGGUGCUGACGAGUGGCGCACGGGUGCGUAAUGCAUCGGAACGUGCCCACUCGUGGUGGAUAACUACUCUCAGGAGUAGCUAAUACCGCAUACGAUCUAUGUAUGAAAGCGGGGGACCGUCAGGCCUCGCGCGAUUUGAGCGGCCGAUGUCAGAUUAGUUAGGUGGUGGGGUAAAGGCUCACCAAGCCAACGAUCUGUAGCUGGUCUGAGAGGACGACCAGCCACACUGGGACUGAGACACGGCCCAGACUCCUACGGGAGGCAGCAGUGGGGAAUUUUGGACAAUGGGCGCAAGCCUGAUCCAGCAAUGCCGCGUGCAGGAGGAAGGCCUUCGGGUUGUAAAAUGCUUUUGUAAGGAACGAAACGGCUCUGGUUAAUACCCGGGGCUAAUGACGGUACCGUAAGAAUAAGCACCGGCUAACUACGUG
rnacentral:rRNA from 1 species